UUUGGUUGGCUCAGUGGUUAGAGCGUAGGUCUCGUAACCGAAAGGUCGCGGGAUCGAAUCCCGCUAGAGGCUGAAA
rnacentral:tRNA from 1 species